UACGGAGGGUGCAAGCGUUAUCCGGAUUCACUGGGUUUAAAGGGUGCGUAGGUGGGUUGGUAAGUCCGUGGUGAAAUCCCCGAGCUUAACUUGGGAACUGCCAUGGAUACUAUUAAUCUUGAAUGUCGUGGGGAUGAGCGGAAUAUGUCAUGUAGCGGUGAAAUGCUUAGAUAUGACAUAGAACACCAAUUGCGAAGGCAGCUCGUUACGCGAAUAUUGACACUGAUGCACGAAAGCGUGGGGAUCAAACAGG
rnacentral:rRNA from 1 species